rnacentral:rRNA from 1 species
GCAUAUCAAUAAGCGGAGGAAAAGAAACUAACAAGGAUUCCCCUAGUAACGGCGAGUGAAGUGGGAAAAGCUCAACUUUGAAAUCUGGCACCUUCGGUGUCCGAGUUGUAGUCUCAAGAAGUGUUUUCUGUGCUGGUCCAUGUAUGAGUCUGUUGGAACACAGCGUCAUAGAGGGUGACAACCCCGUUCAUGACAUGGAUACCAGUGCUUUGUGAUACACUCUCGAAGAGUCGAGUUGUUUGGGAAUGCAGCUCAAAUUGGGUGGUAAAUUCCAUCUAAAGCUAAAUAUUGGCGAGAGACCGAUAGCAAACAAGUACCGUGAGGGAAAGAUGAAAAGCACUUUGGAAAGAGAGUUAACAGUACGUGAAAUUGUUGAAAGGGAAACGAUUGAAGUCAGACGUGCGUGAUGCGGUUCAGCUCUGGUUCGCCAGAGUGUAUUCCGUAUCUUUGCAGGCCAACAUCGGUUUUAUUAGUCGGAUAAAGAUUAGUUGAAUGUGGCACCUUCGGGUGUGUUAUAGCUUCUAAUUGAAUACGAUUGACGAGACCGAGGAACGCAGCGCGCCGCAAGGCAAAGGUUCCGACCUUUUCGUGCUUAGGAUGUUGGUGAAAUGGCUUUAAACGACCCGUCUUGAAACACGGACC